GAACUUUGGAUUCUGCAGCAAAGGCUGGAUUGAGUCUGCUUUAAAGGGUGCUCUUUCUGGUUUACUCUAGUCAAAUACCUGAGAAAAGUAUAGAAAAAAGUAUUUCAUAUGAAUGAAGGGCCUCUGCAUCUGCCUGGACGCAAGAACUUCACACUAGUUGGGUUAGUAUUCUAUUGCAGUUUGGCAUGCAUCUGAACAGAAGAAGCUUGAUUGUUCCCAAUGUUUGUAAAUUUCAAUCUACUGUAAUUUGCUGUAAAGUUGAAAACACAAGAAAUGAAAGAUGAGCAAUAUGAAGCUGACGUGCAUGUGCACACAAAUGAUGUCCCCAUGAAUGUCGUUUUAAAAGUUGAUAAAUUGCCCACCUAUUACA
rnacentral:misc_RNA from 1 species